AGGGUCAAAUGUGGGGGAAGGGUGAAGGUGGGGGCUGCUGCUUUUGGUCUGUUAUAUAUUUAACAGGUGAGGCAGAGGGACCCGCCCCCACGGUUCAUCCCUCCUGGUGACCUUGCAGGGACAGGCGGCUGGUCCAGGAGAACGAAGUUGAUCCCGCUGCAGCAUCAGCAAAUGUUUCUGCAGCGAUGGCGUCCAGAGCUGCGGUUCUGUUGGACCUGACAGAUCUGUGGAUCGGUCCGCCUCGAAACAGGAAUCCCUUUAACGUCUAUUUUGAUCCAGUGUGUUGGACUCAAAGCAUCAUUGUCCUGAAGUGGUGCAUGUUGGUUAGAAAAGGGGGCGGGAACAGAGAAAGAAAAGAAAACCUGGAAAUCUGAAGCAAGGUGGGAACCGCACCAGCAGCCCUCUGCUGUCCACAGCUGUCUCAAAGUUUUCUAUCAUCUUAACUCUAUUUUGAAAAUGUCUGUCCAAGAGUAACACUAACAAUUUUCAAAUUAAAAGCACUCUUUGAAAGCAUUCCC